GACGUAGGGCGCGAGCGUUGUCCGGAUUUAUUGGGCGUAAAGAGCUCGUAGGCGGCUUGUCGCGUCGACUGUGAAAACCCGAGGCUCAACCUCGGGCCUGCAGUGGGUACGGGCAGACUAGAGUGCGGUAGGGGAGAUUGGAAUUCCUGGUGUAGCGGUGGAAUGCGCAGAUAUCAGGAGGAACACCGGUGGCGAAGGCGGGUCUCUGGGCCGUAACUGACGCUGAGGAGCGAAAGCAUGGGGAGCGAACAGG
rnacentral:rRNA from 1 species